UAAUACGGAGGGUGCAAGCGUUAAUCGGAAUUACUGGGCGUAAAGGGUGCGUAGGCGGUUGUUUAAGUCUGUUGUGAAAUCCCCGGGCUCAACCUGGGAAUGGCAAUGGAUACUGGACAGCUAGAGUGUGUCAGAGGAUGGUGGAAUUCCCGGUGUAGCGGUGAAAUGCGUAGAGAUCGGGAGGAACAUCAGUGGCGAAGGCGGCCAUCUGGGACAACACUGACGCUGAAGCACGAAAGCGUGGGGAGCAAACAGGAUUAGAUACCCUGGUAGUCCACGCCCUAAACGAUGCGAACUGGAUGUUGGUCUCAACUCGGAGAUCAGUGUCGAAGCUAACGCGUUAAGUUCGCCGCCUGGGGAGUACGGUCGCAAGACUG
rnacentral:rRNA from 1 species